rnacentral:rRNA from 1 species
AGCGUACACGGUGGAUGCCCUGGCAGUCAGAGGCGAUGAAGGACGUGCUAAUCUGCGAUAAGCGUCGGUAAGGUGAUAUGAACCGUUAUAACCGGCGAUUUCCGAAUGGGGAAACCCAGUGUGAUUCGUCACACUAUCAUUAACUGAAUCCAUAGGUUAAUGAGGCGAACCGGGGGAACUGAAACAUCUAAGUACCCCGAGGAAAAGAAAUCAACCGAGAUUCCCCCAGUAGCGGCGAGCGAACGGGGAGGAGCCCAGAGCCUGAAUCAGUGUGUGUGUUAGUGGAAGCGUCUGGAAAGGCGCGCGAUACAGGGUGACAGCCCCGUACACAAAAAUGCACAUGCUGUGAGCUCGAUGAGUAGGGCGGGACACGUGGUAUCCUGUCUGAAUAUGGGGGGACCAUCCUCCAAGGCUAAAUACUCCUGACUGACCGAUAGUGAACCAGUACCGUGAGGGAAAGGCGAAAAGAACCCCGGCGAGGGGAGUGAAAAAGAACCUGAAACCGUGUACGUACAAGCAGUGGGAGCACAGAGCAAUCUGUGUGACUGCGUACCUUUUGUAUAAUGGGUCAGCGACUUAUAUUCUGUAGCAAGGUUAACCGAAUAGGGGAGCCGAAGGGAAACCGAGUCUUAACUGGGCGUUAAGUUGCAGGGUAUAGACCCGAAACCCGGUGAUCUAGCCAUGGGCAGGUUGAAGGUUGGGUAACACUAACUGGAGGACCGAACCGACUAAUGUUGAAAAAUUAGCGGAUGACUUGUGGCUGGGGGUGAAAGGCCAAUCAAACCGGGAGAUAGCUGGUUCUCCCCGAAAGCUAUUUAGGUAGCGCCUCGUGAAUUCAUCUCCGGGGGUAGAGCACUGUUUCGGCAAGGGGGUCAUCCCGACUUACCAACCCGAUGCAAACUGCGAAUACCGGAGAAUGUUAUCACGGGAGACACACGGCGGGUGCUAACGUCCGUCGUGAAGAGGGAAACAACCCAGACCGCCAGCUAAGGUCCCAAAGUCAUGGUUAAGUGGGAAACGAUGUGGGAAGGCCCAGACAGCCAGGAUGUUGGCUUAGAAGCAGCCAUCAUUUAAAGAAAGCGUAAUAGCUCACUGGUCGAGUCGGCCUGCGCGGAAGAUGUAACGGGGCUAAACCAUGCACCGAAGCUGCGGCAGCGACGCUUAUGCGUUGUUGGGUAGGGGAGCGUUCUGUAAGCCUGUGAAGGUGUGCUGUGAGGCAUGCUGGAGGUAUCAGAAGUGCGAAUGCUGACAUAAGUAACGAUAAAGCGGGUGAAAAGCCCGCUCGCCGGAAGACCAAGGGUUCCUGUCCAACGUUAAUCGGGGCAGGGUGAGUCGACCCCUAAGGCGAGGCCGAAAGGCGUAGUCGAUGGGAAACAGGUUAAUAUUCCUGUACUUGGUGUUACUGCGAAGGGGGGACGGAGAAGGCUAUGUUGGCCGGGCGACGGUUGUCCCGGUUUAAGCGUGUAGGCUGGUUUUCCAGGCAAAUCCGGAAAAUCAAGGCUGAGGCGUGAUGACGAGGCACUACGGUGCUGAAGCAACAAAUGCCCUGCUUCCAGGAAAAGCCUCUAAGCAUCAGGUAACAUCAAAUCGUACCCCAAACCGACACAGGUGGUCAGGUAGAGAAUACCAAGGCGCUUGAGAGAACUCGGGUGAAGGAACUAGGCAAAAUGGUGCCGUAACUUCGGGAGAAGGCACGCUGAUAUGUAGGUGAAGUCCCUCGCGGAUGGAGCUGAAAUCAGUCGAAGAUACCAGCUGGCUGCAACUGUUUAUUAAAAACACAGCACUGUGCAAACACGAAAGUGGACGUAUACGGUGUGACGCCUGCCCGGUGCCGGAAGGUUAAUUGAUGGGGUCAGCGCAAGCGAAGCUCUUGAUCGAAGCCCCGGUAAACGGCGGCCGUAACUAUAACGGUCCUAAGGUAGCGAAAUUCCUUGUCGGGUAAGUUCCGACCUGCACGAAUGGCGUAAUGAUGGCCAGGCUGUCUCCACCCGAGACUCAGUGAAAUUGAACUCGCUGUGAAGAUGCAGUGUACCCGCGGCAAGACGGAAAGACCCCGUGAACCUUUACUAUAGCUUGACACUGAACAUUGAGCCUUGAUGUGUAGGAUAGGUGGGAGGCUUUGAAGUGUGGACGCCAGUCUGCAUGGAGCCGACCUUGAAAUACCACCCUUUAAUGUUUGAUGUUCUAACGUUGACCCGUGAUCCGGGUUGCGGACAGUGUCUGGUGGGUAGUUUGACUGGGGCGGUCUCCUCCUAAAGAGUAACGGAGGAGCACGAAGGUUGGCUAAUCCUGGUCGGACAUCAGGAGGUUAGUGCAAUGGCAUAAGCCAGCUUGACUGCGAGCGUGACGGCGCGAGCAGGUGCGAAAGCAGGUCAUAGUGAUCCGGUGGUUCUGAAUGGAAGGGCCAUCGCUCAACGGAUAAAAGGUACUCCGGGGAUAACAGGCUGAUACCGCCCAAGAGUUCAUAUCGACGGCGGUGUUUGGCACCUCGAUGUCGGCUCAUCACAUCCUGGGGCUGAAGUAGGUCCCAAGGGUAUGGCUGUUCGCCAUUUAAAGUGGUACGCGAGCUGGGUUUAGAACGUCGUGAGACAGUUCGGUCCCUAUCUGCCGUGGGCGCUGGAGAACUGAGGGGGGCUGCUCCUAGUACGAGAGGACCGGAGUGGACGCAUCACUGGUGUUCGGGUUGUCAUGCCAAUGGCACUGCCCGGUAGCUAAAUGCGGAAGAGAUAAGUGCUGAAAGCAUCUAAGCACGAAACUUGCCCCGAGAUGAGUUCUCCCUGACUCCUUGA